GGCCCUUUAGCUCAGUUGGUUAGAGCAAUCGACUCAUAAUUGACAGGUCACUGGUUCAAGUCCAGUAAGGGCCACCA
rnacentral:tRNA from 1 species